GCCCCCGGGAAACCGCGGGGGAUGAGCGCCUCGGCGAGCCGUGAGUCCCCUUCGCUCCCCGGGGGCACA
rnacentral:snoRNA from 1 species